AAUUAGUGUCCACAGUGACGUAUCGAACAGUUCUUUUUGCAACAGUUUUUUUUUUUUUUUUUAGACAGAGUUUCGCUCUUGUUUCCCAGGCUGGAGUGCAGUGGCUCGAUCUCAGCUCACUGCAAUCUCCGCCUCCUGGGUUCAAGCAAUUCUCCUGCCUCAGCCUUCCGAGUAGCUGGGACUACAGGUGUGUGCCACCACGCCCAGCUACUUUUUGUAUAUAUUUUUUAGUAGAGACAGGGUUUCACCAUGUUGACCAGGAUGGUCUCGAUCUCUUGACCUCGUGAUCUGCCCGCCUCGGCCUCCCAAAGUGCUGGGAUUACAGGCGUGAGCCACCGCGCCCGGCCUGCAACAGGUUUUAAAGACAUUAUACUACAUGCAGAAUAAGAAAGAAGGAGAAGAAAAAGGAAUUGUAUUUUUACCGUGAUGGGAAGAAGAUGGAUCUUUCUGCAGUGGGAUGGUUUUAGCUUCUAGGAAAUUCACUCUUAAGAGCAGCUUCCAGCCUUUGAGAUGCCCCGGUGUGCAGGAAGCUCAAGCCAGCUUGGCUCACUGGCUCCAGCAUGUCUCUGGUCUCUUCCUUGUGCAUCAGGAAUCACUUUGGACUGGCCCAAGAGUGGGGCUGUGGGCACGCAGAGCACACCAGAUUUCUGAAUGAUUAUGGCCAUGCAUCAUUGUGUAGGGACUUUAAGAAGCUGCUGAAGAACAAAAAUGAAGGUGGGAGCUGUUGGUGUCGAGUGACUCAUAGCACCAUCCUUCAGGGACGGUGUGGUUGGCCAGAGUAUGGUCAGGGAGAGCCAAGAGAAGAAGUGCUUCUGAGUAUGACCCAGCAGGGUGGAAAGAAGGAGUCUCCCAAGUGCACAUUUGUUGGAGGAAGCUUUUGUGGGCUCCUGACAUUCCAUUAUUCUAGAACUACAAGGAGACACCCUCCAGAGAAAGCAGCAACAAGGCACCAUCUUGGAAGCUGAGAGGGCAGCCCUUACCAGACACCAAAUCUGCCAGCACCUCUGUCUUGAACGUUCCAGUCUUCAGAGCCAUGGGAAGUAAAUUUCUGUUCUUUAUAAAUUACUCAGUCUAUGGUGUUUUGUUAUAGCAGCACAAAUGAACUAAUACAUGUGAAACGCUUAGAGCUGUGCUUUGCCCAGAGUAAGUCCUCAGUUAACCUUGUGAAAAAUUUGGCAAGUCAGUAAAGGUAGAACUGAGAAAUCAAAAAUUACCUACUUUCCAUCACUUGCAGAAGCCACUAGUAGCAUUUUAGCAUAUUGCUUUCAGUCUAUCCCUAUCCAUUUACAAUAUGAGACUUUACUACUUACAAAAUGUUUAUACCCCUUGCUUCACUUGACACACUACAAGCAUUUAUUUAUACUAUUUAAAUUAUUUUAAAAGUCUCUGCCCCUUCUGUAACUACUUCUUCUUCUUCCUCCUCCUCCCUCCUCCUCCUCUCUUCCUCUCCUUCUCCUUCUUCCUCUUCCUUCUCCUUCUCCUUCUUUUCUUCUUCCUUCUCCUCCUCCUCCUCCUUCUUCUUCUUUCUUCCUCCUCCUCCUUCCUUCUCCUUCUCCUUCUUUUUCAUCUUCUUCUUCUUCUCCUCCUCCUCCUACUUCUUCUUCUCCUUCUCCUUCUUUCUCCUCCUUCUUCCUUCUUCCUUCUCCUCCUCUUCCUCCUCCUCCUCCUCCUCCUCCUCCUUCUUUGUGAUGUAGUCUUGCUCUGUUGCCUGGUCUGGAGUGCAGUGACAUGAUCUCAGCUCACUGCAAUCUCUGCCUCCCAGGUUGAAGUGAUUCUCCCGUCUGAACCUCCUGAGUAGCUAAAACUACAGGCACAGGCAAUCAUCCCUGUCUAAUUUUCGUAUUUUUAGUAGAGACAGGGUUUCACCAUGUUGGCCAGGCUGGUCUAGAACUUCUGACUGUGAUGCACUCAUCUUGGCCUCCCAAGUGUUGGGAUUGCAGAUGUGAGCCACUGCACCCAUAACGUAUGGCCUUCAUCCAUAACUUUCUUAACCAUUUCCUAUUUCCCUCUUGUUGGAUAUUUAGAUUGUUUCCAAGAACAUCAAAACACAUGAAAAAUAUUAACAGUUUUAUGCUUACUGUAUGGAAUGUCUCCAAAUCAUAAAGCCAUUUUACUACUGAAAUGACGUACAUUUUUGAAAACCCUACAGAACAUGGUGUUUUAGACAUGGCGUUUGAAACAUGAUGAAACAAAGCUUUUUAUCUAUUGUGUUGAUAAAAAGCGUUGAGAAAAAGUGAGCAGUUAAAACAAACAAUAAUAUGGUUUAAAAUACGCUGAGCACUUUAUAUUUUCCUGGCACUGAACCCAUCCCCAGUACCUCACAGGUAUUAACCAGUACCUCACAGGUAUUAACCAGUACCUCACAGGUAUUAACCAGUACCUCACAGGUAUUAACCAGUACCUCACAGUUAUCUCGACAGGCAAUUUUUUUGUCUCCAUCUUGCAGGUUUAGAAACAGAGUCACCGAAAGGUUGAAUGACCUGCCCAAGGUCUUCACUCUAGUAAAUUGAAGUGCUGGGAUUUGCACCCAUGAAAUCUACUUCCAGAAACUGUAUUCUCUGCCACUGAAUCUACACUAUCCUUUUUACAUAGAGUAUUUAUUCUGAACAUUUCAUCAGAAAUGCUCUACCGCUGAUUUUCUUUUCAUUAUUCUUUAUUUGGAAAAAAGUAGAAAGAUCAAGUAAAUUUUGGCAAAUGGAUAUUUUUCUGUACAUAAUAUCCAAAGCUCGGAUGGACUUUCACGUAAUGAACUAUUUAGGCAUUUGUUUUUCUGGACUUUUAUUUAGAGCCAGAUCAAAAUUUCAGUGGGUUGCUUCCCACCCUAUUUUAAAUUGGGUUAUGGUAUAACUUUGGAGAGAAUGACUACACUGUUUUAGAAAUAAACCUUUCUUUUUUACAGACUCGCAGUAUUUCUUUGAAGUGUGCAUCUGUUGUGAAGAAGGAGUACAGCUGGAAAAAAUAGAGCGUCAACUGUAUUUUCUGUGUAGGUGUUUUUCAAUCGGCUGCCCAGGACGAUAUUGCAUAUUUGAGCAAUAUGCUUUCCAUUUUACUGCCCUUUUCCAAAUCACACAAUUAAUAGAUAACAACCCAAGAUCCACAUACACUCUGAGGGCUGUGGGGAAGUGGAGUGAGAGAAGAGAAUUCCUGUGCACAUGGGCUGAAUGGGUGGUAGGGAGGAGUUCUAGUUUUUCCUUCUAUCUUGGAAGGAUAGGACUUGGUUUCUUUCAGAGACAUGAACCCUUAUGUGCUAGAAAAGGAAGCCGCAGAGAAUUUUCCAGGGACUGGUACAAAGGUUGUAAAAUAGGACAUGAAAUGACAGAGAAGCGGGUGCUCUUACUGCAAAGUCUGUCUUGAAUUUCAGCUUUACUGGGAGAGGUGUGUGAUAUUAUUCUGCUAGUAGCUUCAUGGGUUAGCCUCAUAAAACAUAGUUAUCCCCCCAGGGGAUGCUGGUCUUUUCUUAUUUUUUUCAUCAUUCUUCCUUAUUCCUCAUUAAGAAUCACAACCUUCUCUCUCUGUCCUUCCCCAAAUUUCCAAGCAAUAGAAGGACACUUUUAUAAUUAUGACUCCAUUAGAGAUCAUCUAGAAAUCGAAAAUGAUUCUGUGAAGCCCAAAUAUCUGAGACAGGUCUCAUUCAAUUUAGGAAGUUCAUUUUGCCACAGUUAAGGAGGUGCACCAGUGACACAGCCUUAGGAAGUCCUGACAAUGUGUGUUAAAAGUGGUCGGGGCAAUAGCUUGGGUGUCCACAUUCUAGGGAGACAUGAGACAUCAAUCAAUUAUGUAAAAUGUAUAUUGGUUUGGUCUGGAAAGGCAGGACAACUGGAAGCAGAGACAGGGCCUCCAGGUCAUACAUAGUUAAGAGACAAAUGAUUGCAUUCUUUUGAGUUUCUGAUUAAUGUUUAAAAAUGAGGCAAUCAGAUACACAUUCAUCUCAGGAGCAGAGGGAUGGGAGGCAUGUUUGCCCUCAACAGUUUCCCUCUUGAGUUUUCCCUUUAGCUUAGUGAUUUUGGGGGGGAGGGUCCCAAGAUUUAUUUUCCUUUCAAAAAUCCAAAUGUAUGUGUCUCCAGAUAUUUUAUUUUAUUCUCAUAAAGGAUGGGAAUGCAGAAUAUGCUUUGUUUUAUUUUUUUAAAAAAAGACUAGGUGUUUACCUUUAAAAUUUCAGGUUUUAGAAACAUUGUGUUUUAGAAGUCUUUCCUUGAAAAAUAUGCAGACCGAAGCAAAAUCUACUCACCCUCGCUUUUAGGAGACCUCAAACUGAACAUUUGCCUACGUGGCCUUCUUUUGUUUUUUCAAGCUUAUUUCAAUAGGACUGAUCAUAACUCGUAUUCAAACAGCAAUCCAAAGGACAGAAGAUCUUUAUCCUUGCAAAGGGUGGUCAUAAUUUUGUUAAGUAAGAAGACACCGGUGAAAACGAUCACCGCAAAUCCAUUUCCAUAAGAAAAAAGAACCAGUGUAACUUGAAAAGGCCUUUUAUUCAAUCUCAAGGACAGAAUUGGGGGAAAAUUCUAAAUGCUGAAAUCACAAUAAGGCCCACUAAGAUUUUCUCCUAUUUACUCGCAGACCCUGCUCUAGACUGCAUGCUGGACAGGGGGCUGCCCUGAGCUCACACCACGGCCGUAAAGCUCCCUGCUUGCGUUCUCCCGCCCGCCUGCAUUCCCGCCACCGAGCAGCAGCUGUGUGAUUUUUUUUUUUUUUUUUUUUUUUUUUUUUUCCCGGCCCGGGCUGCCCUGGGCGAAUGCUCUUCGUCAAGUUCCCUCUUAAACAGUGGUCAAACAUUCUUCUGGUGCAUCUAUUAUUUUCAGGUCCUUUAUUACAGGUACUGACCCUGUAAUCUCAGCAGCACAGGUUCGCCCAGCAGGGCUUCGGGAUGCUUCCCUGACUCUCCCCCGACUUUCACACCAACGCCCUCCGGGGACGAUUCCAAUGGGUGUCAAGUCCAUUCUCUGAUGAACAGACUCGCGCUUUGAGAGCAUCUUCAGGGUCAGCGCAUCCAGGGACCAUUUUCCUCGAGCGCCACCGCCUGGCCCAAACGGGAACGACCUGUGCCCGUUGCUGAGGACAAACACUGGAGAUGGAAUUUCUAGUGUUUGUACAAUCUUCGUCCUUUUCCAUUUUUUGUAAAGUGACGAUGACAGAUAUUUUCGCUUAUGACUGCAAGUAUUUUUCCUCUGAAUAAAUAUACCAUUUUUUUCUGGCAAUAAUUUGCGUUUAAAAAUAGGCCGGGCGCGGUGGCUCACGCCUGUAAUCCCAGCACUUUGGGAGGCUGAGGGGGGUGGAUCAUGAGGUCAAGAGAUCGAGACCAUCCUGGUCAACAUGGUGAAACCCCGUCUCUACUAAAAAUACAAAAAAAUUAGCUGGGCACGGUGGCGCGUGCCUGUAAUCCCAGCUACUCAGGAGGCUGAGGCAGGAGAAUUGCCUGAUCCCAGGAGGCGAAGGUGGCGGUGAGCCAAGAUGGCGCCAUUGCACUCCAGUCUGGGUAACAAGAGCGAAACUCCGUCUCAAAAAAAAAAAAAAAAAAAAAAAAAUACUGAGACUGGGCAUGGUGGCUCACUCCUGUAAUUCCAGCAAUUUAGGAGGCCGAGGUGGGAGGAUGGCUUGAGUCCAGGAGUUUGAGACCAGCCUGGGCAACAUAGCAAGACCCCGUCUCUACAAAAAUAAUUUUCAGAACUAUUGGGUGAGCUGGCGUGCACCUGUAGUUCCAGCGACUCAGGAGGCUGAGAAGGAGGGAUGGCUACAGUGAGCUGUGAUCACACACUGCACUCCAGCCUCAGUGACACAGCAAGAGCCUCCUUUAAAAAAAAGGAAAAAGAAAAAAAUAAAAAUACUGAAAUGAGAGCUAUCCUAUACCCUCAACUAUAUAUUACAUAAAUUGUAUUCUUUCGAAUUCUAAACGCUGGAUAGGAUGUGAUUUGGUAAUAACAUAAAAAUAUAAGAGCAGAAACAGGCAAACAAAAAGGAGAAAGUGUUUUUCCUCUGGCAUUCUAACCUUGGUGGACAGGAUGGGUGGAGAACCCCUAAAGGGCUUGCUUGGUUGGUGCCCACCCCUGCCUGCUCCCCAGUGGUCAAGACGGAGCACUGAUGCUACAGACCCAGGCUCCAGAAUACACUGGAGGCAAAGGCUCCCAAAAGAGUGUGCACACCUCGACGAGUAUAUGCGUGUGAGCAAACACCUCUGUAAGGAGUCUCCUUGGGGCAUUAAAAGAAAAUAUUAACAUUUCUCUUCAUACUUGUUUUUAUCUCAAAUUUCAAUGCCUUUAUUUUUAUAGGGCACAUGGAAUUAUUCAAACGCUUGUAUAUUGUUUACAAAGCAAAUCAGUGUUUUCAUAGGUCUUGGGUGUGUGGCUCUAAAAAUUCGAGUUUGCCAAGGAGGUGGUGGAAGGAUGAUGACGGCUUCCCUUGGACUGGGCAGAGGUGGGUCGAGUAGGGUGUGGAUCUUGAUCUUUCUGCCUGGGGCGCAGUCCUAUGGCCAAGGAACAGGAUCCCUUUUUCCACCCCUUACUUGUAGACUGCCCAGGUGCAGGAGUGAGGGGUGCAAGGAGCCACCCUUAUGAGAAGGU